UAAUUUGAGAGUUUGAUCCUGGCUCAGGACGAACGCUGGCGGCGUGCCUAAUACAUGCAAGUCGAACGAACUCUGGUAUUGAUUGGUGCUUGCAUCAUGAUUUACAUUUGAGUGAGUGGCGAACUGGUGAGUAACACGUGGGAAACCUGCCCAGAAGCGGGGGAUAACACCUGGAAACAGAUGCUAAUACCGCAUAACAACUUGGACCGCAUGGUCCGAGCUUGAAAGAUGGCUUCGGCUAUCACUUUUGGAUGGUCCCGCGGCGUAUUAGCUAGAUGGUGGGGUAACGGCUCACCAUGGCAAUGAUACGUAGCCGACCUGAGAGGGUAAUCGGCCACAUUGGGACUGAGACACGGCCCAAACUCCUACGGGAGGCAGCAGUAGGGAAUCUUCCACAAUGGACGAAAGUCUGAUGGAGCAACGCCGCGUGAGUGAAGAAGGGUUUCGGCUCGUAAAACUCUGUUGUUAAAGAAGAACAUAUCUGAGAGUAACUGUUCAGGUAUUGACGGUAUUUAACCAGAAAGUCACGGCUAACUACGUGCCAGCAGCCGCGGUAAUACGUAGGUGGCAAGCGUUGUCCGGAUUUAUUGGGCGUAAAGCGAGCGCAGGCGGUUUUUUAAGUCUGAUGUGAAAGCCUUCGGCUCAACCGAAGAAGUGCAUCGGAAACUGGGAAACUUGAGUGCAGAAGAGGACAGUGGAACUCCAUGUGUAGCGGUGAAAUGCGUAGAUAUAUGGAAGAACACCAGUGGCGAAGGCGGCUGUCUGGUCUGUAACUGACGCUGAGGCUCGAAAGUAUGGGUAGCAAACAGGAUUAGAUACCCUGGUAGUCCAUACCGUAAACGAUGAAUGCUAAGUGUUGGAGGGUUUCCGCCCUUCAGUGCUGCAGCUAACGCAUUAAGCAUUCCGCCUGGGGAGUACGGCCGCAAGGCUGAAACUCAAAGGAAUUGACGGGGGCCCGCACAAGCGGUGGAGCAUGUGGUUUAAUUCGAAGCUACGCGAAGAACCUUACCAGGUCUUGACAUACUAUGCAAAUCUAAGAGAUUAGACGUUCCCUUCGGGGACAUGGAUACAGGUGGUGCAUGGUUGUCGUCAGCUCGUGUCGUGAGAUGUUGGGUUAAGUCCCGCAACGAGCGCAACCCUUAUUAUCAGUUGCCAGCAUUAAGUUGGGCACUCUGGUGAGACUGCCGGUGACAAACCGGAGGAAGGUGGGGAUGACGUCAAAUCAUCAUGCCCCUUAUGACCUGGGCUACACACGUGCUACAAUGGAUGGUACAACGAGUUGCGAACUCGCGAGAGUAAGCUAAUCUCUUAAAGCCAUUCUCAGUUCGGAUUGUAGGCUGCAACUCGCCUACAUGAAGUCGGAAUCGCUAGUAAUCGCGGAUCAGCAUGCCGCGGUGAAUACGUUCCCGGGCCUUGUACACACCGCCCGUCACACCAUGAGAGUUUGUAACACCCAAAGUCGGUGGGGUAACCUUUUAGGAACCAGCCGCCUAAGGUGGGACAGAUGAUUAGGGUGAAGUCGUAACAAGGUAGCCGUAGGAGAACCUGCGGCUGGAUCACCUCCUUU
rnacentral:rRNA from 1 species